rnacentral:rRNA from 1 species
UCCUAUAGAACUCUAUACAACUUUCAGCAACGGAUCUCUUGGCUCUCGCAUCGAUGAAGAACGCAGCGAAAUGCGAUAACUAAUGUGAAUUGCAGAAUUCAGUGAAUCAUCGAGUCUUUGAACGCACCUUGCACCCUUUGGUAUUCCGAAGGGUAUGCCUGUUUGAGUGUCAUUAACUUCUCAA